rnacentral:ncRNA from 1 species
ACAGUACAAACUGAGCAGGCAGUAGCCGGAAGUGAGGCUAUCAGCCGGGCCGUUAACACGGCAGCAGAUGAGAAUACAGAAGCAUCUGUGGGACAGU